CCGUUCAAUCUCAACAUCAAUUCAGGACAGGUAGAAAAAAUACCCCCAACAGGUCAUUGGAAAGCAAUGACUUACUGCUGGUGAUUACAGGCAUCUGGCCAGCAUGGGAGUCAAUAUAAUCUACAUGAUGAACAUACAUCGGCCCACAACAAGUACAUGGGUGGAGGUUAUGAUAAAGGCAGGCAAUUUUAAAAAACAACUUCUGUCUUGUUACCAAGGAGACAAGCGAAGGAAAGAAAAACACAACAACGACGGCGGUUAGUUUCCCCAACACAAGUUGGUUUGAUUUAUUGAUCGCAUAUUCAACACAGUAAGGCUAGAGUCGCUGUAGGAAACAUGGGCGUGUCUGUGCUGCAGUGGGGUGCAAGUGCACACACACACACACACACACACCAGUACCAGUUUGGAGGCGGUGGGAGACGGUAAAAUGAGCCAUCCCCCCCCCCCUUCCACCCCCAAACCGGACUCUCUCCGCUCCUCCUAAAGAUAGUGCAUAGCUCAGUCAAAUUAACCGUCAGAAUAAAUCAAAUAUAUUUCAUAAAAUUUGCCUCCAAAUGCAACAAAGCAUUUCACAAAAUAAUACACCCCAGUUCAUCUAAAUGAUUCAUAUAUAAUCAUAUAUAUAUAUAUCAUCAUGUGUUCAAUGUACAAAGUUACAUUCUGAAUUGCCAAAGCUCAUUCACCGUAGUAAUAAUAAUAAUAAUAAUAAUAAUAAUAAUAAAUACUGAAGUGGCCAAUAUUGUCAAACAAUAAACAGCUCUCGCCCCGCGGGGAGAAUGAAGGCAUUCGCUUACAAACACAAAACUCUUCAGGACAGGAAAGGAGAGAAGGAAACACACAAGACUCUGCCCGAUCUUCUGGACGGCUUCUCUACGACACACCUAGCUGGACGCGAACGUCCCGGCAGGACUGAACACACCCAGCGGGACAUGAACACACCCAGCGGGACAUGAACGUCCCGGCAGGACAUGAACACAGCUAACGGGAUGCAAACGUCCCGGCAGGACACACUCUUUCCUCCGUCCGAGACAGCGCACCCAAGAGGUCAGUUGCAUAAAAAUAUUGUUAAAAAAGAAAAGAAGUUCAUAAAAAUAGGCGUAAAAUGUGUCUACAGCGCACCCAGGUAGGGGCCAGGUAAAUGAGUGCGUCUCGCGUCUAUUGCUUUAAACGUUGUCCAGGAAACCAGAGCGAGCCAAUCAUGGCACUGUGAAGUAGCGUCGUCCACUUUUGAACUGGACGUCAGCGUUUUCUGGAUGGUUUCUGAUUGGCCGACUAAUAUGUCAGUCUCACCUCCACCACGCCUCCCCCUUCCCCCCGCCCCCAUAUGAAAACACUUGAACACACCUGUCAACUUUGCAAACAAUCCAACUCCAAAAAUAGAUCUAUCUGUACAUUAGGAAAUGCGUUAGAAAACCAAAGGCAUCACGGUCUAGAUGCCGUCGAGUUUUCACGUCAACCGAUCGUUUUUUUCCUUUGGUAGCGAAACCCAGUAACAUUCUCUCAGGAAAGAAUAAAUAGUUCUGUCAUUUGUCAAGAAGAGACGAGAUAGUCCGAAGGCAACUGGAGCUCUCCGUCCAGAGAGGGGUGCCUGCUGAUUCUGGAUCAGAGGCCGUUCAGGGAGACCGGCUCAGACACAUCUGCCGUCAGCCUCCCAUUCCAAUGACCCCCCCCAGCCCCAUCCCCACCAGCAGACUGGUAAUGCUCCUACCCCAGUACGUAGGAACUCUUUUGAUCAUCAUGGCCGUGCUUACUUCACAGAGGACGCAAGACUGAGGGACUAGGAAGGAUUGGAAGGGAUGCACAGUGAGCAGCCUUAGCCUAGGCGGGUUUGUACAUUAGUGGUUAUGAAGGAAGGAACAAGAGUUAGCGAAGGGUACAAAAUUAAACAGGCCCCGCCUUCUAAUCAAGAAGAGUCAUUGAAUAGGUUCUUCUGCGAACCAAUCAGAGCCCAGCAAACCGUUAAACUCUGCUGCAUACUGCAAAGGGUGAGAACUCAAUCCAGGCUCAUUCUUUCUCUGCCUCCUCUAGCAAAACAUGUGAUGGAGAGUGAUUGGUUUGUAACAUAUGUUCGAAUUCAAUUCAAUUAACCAAACGUUGUAAAUAAAAACUAAAACAUGCAGUUCUGUGAUUCGGUUUGAGGCUGACACACGAGAACGAAUCACAACGCUCCGUAUGUCGCCCCGUCCACGCCAAGAUCGCUUUCAAUCACCCCAUUGGACGAGAUUAGGAGGGGGUUGGGUUUAGAGGGCGGCGCAUUCGAGGACAAAGAAAACAAGAGCUGUAGGUCAAAAAAUGGGCGACUUCUGCAGCUUCACAUCAUGAUAAGACGCCUGUAAUCUCUCUCUCUCUCUCCCUCUCCGCCUCUCUCUCUCUCUCCUCCCCCUCUCUCUCUCCCUCUCUCUCUCUCUCCUCCCCUCUCUC
ensembl:lncRNA